rnacentral:rRNA from 1 species
AUUGGACGCUGGCGGCAUGCCUUACACAUGCAAGUCGAACGGUAACAGGUCUUUCGGGAUGCUGACGAGUGGCGAACGGGUGAGUAAUACAUCGGAACGUGCCUAGUAGUGGGGGAUAACUACUCGAAAGAGUGGCUAAUACCGCAUGAGGUCUAUGGAUGAAAGCAGGGGACCUUCGGGCUUUGUGCUACUAGAGCGGCCGAUGGCAGAUUAGGUAGUUGGUGGGAUAAAAGCUUACCAAGCCUACGAUCUGUAGCUGGUCUGAGAGGACGAUCAGCCACACUGGGACUGAGACACGGCCCAGACUCCUACGGGAGGCAGCAGUGGGGAAUUUUGGACAAUGGGGGAAACCCUGAUCCAGCAAUGCCGCGUGCAGGAUGAAGGCCUUCGGGUUGUAAACUGCUUUUGUACGGAACGAAAAGUCUUGGGUUAAUACCCUGGGAUCAUGACGGUACCGUAAGAAUAAGCACCGGCUAACUACGUGCCAGCCGCCGCAGUAAUAC